GAUGAACGCUGGCGGCGUGCCUAAUACAUGCGAGUCGAGCGAACAGACGAGGAGCUUGCUCCUCUGACGUUAGCGGCGGACGGGUGAGUAACACGUGGAUAACCUACCUAUAAGACUGGGAUAACUUCGGGAAACCGGAGCUAAUACCGGAUAAUAUAUUGAACCGCAUGGUUCAAUAGUGAAAGACGGUUUUGCUGUCACUUAUAGAUGGAUCCGCGCCGCAUUAGCUAGUUGGUAAGGUAACGGCUUACCAAGGCGACGAUGCGUAGCCGACCUGAGAGGGUGAUCGGCCACACUGGAACUGAGACACGGUCCAGACUCCUACGGGAGGCAGCGGUAGGGAAUCUUCCGCAAUGGGCGAAAGCCUGACGGAGCAACGCCGCGUGAGUGAUGAAGGUCUUCGGAUCGUAAAACUCUGUUAUUAGGGAAGAACAAAUGUGUAAGUAACUAUGCACGUCUUGACGGUACCUAAUCAGAAAGCCACGGCUAACUACGUG
rnacentral:rRNA from 1 species